GGAAUAUUGCACAAUGGAGGAAACUCUGAUGCAGCAACGCCGCGUGGAGGAUGACGCAUUUCGGUGUGUAAACUCCUUUUAAGAGGGAAGAUAAUGACGGUACCUCUUGAAUAAGCACCGGCUAACUCCGUGCCAGCAGCCGCGGUAAUACGGAGGGUGCAAGCGUUACUCGGAAUCACUGGGCGUAAAGGGUGCGUAGGCUGGCUUCUAAGUCAGAUGUGAAAUCCAAUGGCUUAACCAUUGAACUGCAUUUGAAACUGGGAGCCUAGAGUUCAGAAGGGGCAGAUGGAAUUAGUGGUGUAGGGGUAAAAUCCGUAGAUAUCACUAGGAAUAUCAAAAGCGAAGGCGAUCUGCUGGGAUGAUACUGACGCUGAGGCACGAAAGCGUGGGGAGCAAACAGGAUUAGA
rnacentral:rRNA from 1 species